rnacentral:rRNA from 1 species
UAGGGAAUCUUCCGCAAUGGACGCAAGUCUGACGGAGCAACGCCGCGUGAGUGAAGAAGGAUUUCGGUUCGUAAAACUCUGUUGUUAGAGAAGAACAGCGCAUAGAGUAACUGUUAUGCGUGUGACGGUAUCUAACCAGAAAGCCACGGCUAACUACGUGCCAGCAGCCGCGGUAAUACGUAGGUGGCAAGCGUUGUCCGGAUUUAUUGGGCGUAAAGCGAGCGCAGGCGGUCAAUUAAGUCUGAUGUGAAAGCCCCCGGCUCAACCGGGGGGGGUCAUUGGAAACUGGUUGACUUGAGUGCAGAAGAGGAGAGUGGAAUUCCAUGUGUAGCGGUGAAAUGCGUAGAUAUAUGGAGGAACACCAGUGGCGAAGGCGACUCUCUGGUCUGUAACUGACGCUGAGGCUCGAAAGCGUGGGUAGCAAACAGG